rnacentral:rRNA from 1 species
UACGAGGGGGGCGAGCGUUGUUCGGAAUUAUUGGGCGUAAAGGGUGCGUAGGCGGUUUGGUAAGUCUUGUGUGAAAUCUACAGGCUCAACUUGUAGUCUGCACGAGAAACUGCCGGGCUUGAGUAUGGGAGAGGUGAGUGGAAUUCCUGGUGUAGCGGUGAAAUGCGUAGAUAUCAGGAGGAACACCUGUGGCGAAAGCGGCUCACUGGACCAUAACUGACGCUGAUGCCCGAAAGCUAGGGGAGCAAACAGG